rnacentral:rRNA from 1 species
CAGCCGCCACGGGAAUACGAAGGGGGCUAGCGUUGCUCGGAAUGACUGGGCGUAAAGGGCGCGUAGGCGGCGAUCAAAGUCAGGCGUGAAAUUCCUGGGCUCAACCUGGGGGCUGCGUUUGAUACUUGAUUGCUAGAGUGGGGAAGAGGGUCGUGGAAUUCCCAGUGUAGAGGUGAAAUUCGUAGAUAUUGGGAAGAACACCGGUGGCGAAGGCGGCGACCUGGUCCUUGACUGACGCUGAGGCGCGAAAGCGUGGGGAGCAAACAGGAUUAGAUACCCCGGUAGUCCCUGUCUCUUAUAC